rnacentral:rRNA from 1 species
UCCGGUUGAUCCUGCCGGACCCCACUGCUAUCGGGGUGGGACUAAGACAUGGAAAAGAGCGCCUCCAAGCCACGGUGGAGGCGCGGCGCACAGCUCAGUAACACGUGGCUAACCUACCCUUGGGACAGGGACAACCCCGGGAAACUGGGGCUAAUCCCCGAUAGGUGAGGACUCCUGGAAUGGGUCCUCGCUGAAAGGGCGUCUAGACCAUGCUUCUAGACGCUGCCCAAGGAUGGGGCCGCGGCCGAUCAGGUUGUUGGUGAGGUAACGGCUCACCAAGCCUAAGACCGGUACGGGCCGUGAGAGCGGGAGCCCGGAGAUGGACACUGAGACAAGGGUCCAGGCCCUACGGGGCGCAGCAGUCGCGAAACCUCCGCAAUACGCGAAAGCGUGACGGGGCCACCCCGAGUGCCGUCCGCUGAGGACGGCUUUUCCCCAGUGUAGACAGCUGGGGGAAUAAGGGGAGGGCAAGUCGGGUGUCAGCCGCCGCGGUAAUACCCGCUCCCCGAGUGGUGGGGACGCUUAUUGGGCCUAAAGCAUCCGUAGCCGGCUGGACAAGUCCCCUGUUAAAUCCAGCGAUUUAAUCGCUGGACUGCGGGGGAUACUGUCCAGCUAGGGGGCGGGAGAGGCCGGCGGUAUUCCCGGGGUAGGGGUGAAAUCUUAUAAUCCCGGGAGGACCACCAGUGGCGAAGGCUGCCGGCUGGAACGCGCCCGACGGUGAGGGAUGAAAGCUGGGGGAGCGAACCAGAUUAGAUACCCGGGUAGUCCCAGCUGUAAACGAUGCGGGCUAGGUGUUGGCACGGCUACAAGCCGUGUCAGUGCCGCAGGGAAGCCGUUAAGCCCGCCGCCUGGGGAGUACGGCCGCAAGGCUGAAACUUAGAGGAAUUGGCGGGGGAGCACCACAAGGGGUUAUUCUUGCGGUUUAAUUGGAGUCAACGCCGGG